rnacentral:piRNA from 1 species
UAAAGAGCAAUGAUCUUAACAGAUCUGUGACC